rnacentral:rRNA from 1 species
GAACGCUGGCGGCAUGCCUAACACCUGCAAGUCGAACGAGACCUUCGGGUCUAGUGGCGCACGGGUGCGUAACGCGUGGGAACCUGCCCUUAGGUUCGGAAUAACUCCCCGAAAGGGGUGCUAAUACCGGAUAAUGUCUUCGGACCAAAGAUUUAUCGCCUUUGGAUGGGCCCGCGUUGGAUUAGCUAGUUGGUAGGGUAAAAGCCUACCAAGGCGACGAUCCAUAGCUGGUCUGAGAGGAUGAUCAGCCACACUGGGACUGAGACACGGCCCAGACUCCUACGGGAGGCAGCAGUGGGGAAUAUUGGACAAUGGGCGAAAGCCUGAUCCAGCAAUGCCGCGUGAGUGAUGAAGGCCUUAGGGUUGUAAAGCUCUUUUACCCGGGAUGAUAAUGACAGUACCGGGAGAAUAAGCUCCGGCUAACUCCGUG